rnacentral:rRNA from 1 species
CCUACGGGAGGCAGCAGUGGGGAAUAUUGCACAAUGGGGGAAACCCUGAUGCAGCGACGCCGCGUGAGUGAAGAAGGAUUUCGGUAUGUAAAGCUCUAUCAGCAGGGAAGAAAAUGACGGUACCUGAUUAAGAAGCCCCGGCUAACUACGUGCCAGCAGCCGCGGUAAUACGUAGGGGGCAAGCGUUCUCCGGAUUUAAUGGGUGUAAAGGGAGCGUAGACGGCAGCACAAGUCUGGAGUGAAAUGCCGGGGCUGAACCCCGGAACUGCUUUUGAAACUGUACAGCUGGAGUGCAGGAGAGGUAGGUGGAAUUCCUAGUGUAGCGGUGAAAUGCGUAGAUAUUAGGAGGAACACCAGUGGCGAAGGCGGCUUACUGGACUGUAACUGACGUUGAGGUUCGAAAGCGUGGGGAGCAAACAGGAUUAGAUACCCCAGUAGUC